UCUCUUUCCGGAUGUUGUUGAUGUACAGUGUCGAUGCUGUCCUCUGACGUGUGUUUUUGGUGGUGUUGUUUUGUUCCCCUCCGCACCCUUCCUCCCCCCUCCUUCCUCUGCGCAGGUCCCAGUGGCACCAAUAUCAUAAUAGGGUCCAUCGCAGGUGCUAUUCUUCUGGCAGCUAUAGUCCUAGGGGGGACAGGAUGGGGAUUUAAGAAUAUCCGAAGAGGAAGAUCUGGUGGAGGAUAAGAUGUCCUGUCCGUCUGUCUGUCUUUGUCUGUCUGCUCCUGUCUUUCUCUCACUCUGUGAUGUUUCCAAGUCGGAGAAGAGGGAAAAAGAACAAGUCUUCCACUCCUGUCCCGAACCUCUCCAGACCUCUUCUGUUAACAUCUCCUCUCCUGUCCACUUCCUGUCUGUCCACCAGUCCAUCUCCGGCCCCUCCGGGCCAGUGUAGCACCUCCCACAUUGCAUACCAGCCAAUUAUAUUAUCCAAUCAGGAUAAAGUCUUUGCCAUGGGCAGAAUGAGAAGGUUGUUGUUGGUCCCUAGAGGGGCGUCAGGGUCUUCCUCCUUUCCAGCGACUAAGUAUUAUGCACUUCGGUGUCUGCGUACUGUAGUUCCCUUUCCUUCCGCUUAUGACAGUCCCAUGAAGAACAUGUCAACAGUGGACAAAUUCAGUAUGAGACAUGUCUUUCCAAUGCUUGUCUGGAAACACACUUCUGGCCGCUGUUUGAGAAUGCUGGACUGGCCCAGACCUGCCAUCUGAAAAACAAUUUAAAUCAUAGGAUGUUGUCAAGGAAACACAGAAAAACAAACAUUGAUCAAAGACUCAAGUGGCCAUUGGAUCAGUUGAACUGCCCCUUUCAGAGAGUCCUUGACUGGUGACUGGAUGACAACCCAGAUUCAGACAUGAUCUAGUUACAACAACACGGAUGUGAUCCAAGAAGAGUCCUUGUCUGGUGACUGGGUGACAACCCAGAUUCAGACAUUAUCUAGUUACAACAACACGGAUGUGAUCCAAGAAGAGUCCUGUAUGGGUCGCGUUGUGUACAGGCCAUUUCCAAAGAAAGAAGAGCAACUUAUUGUGAGAAUGACUAUGAAACAAAAGCAGUAGACCGUUCAAAACAUCAUGGACUGAUGUAGAGUUUAUGUAGAUUGUUCAUUCUUUGUUCCUGUCUGUUGAGAUGUGUUUGAAAUGUAGGAAGGAGGAGUUAGACCCUAUGGUUUUGGGAUCAUAUUUAAAAUGCAGCAGAGACCGUAACUCAGUGUUUCAACUGUAGAUCUACCAACACAACAUUCCACAUAGUGUUAGUUAACAGAGCCUGUCUGUAUGUGUCUGUAUUCUAUUUGCCACCUUCUUAAGAGGCCCAAAGUGUGUAUGGUAAAGGAGGUUGAAACUCUGUGUGUGUGUGUGUGUGUGUGUGUGUGUGUGUGUGUGUGUGUGUGUGUGUGUGUGUGUGUGUGUGUGUGUGUGUGUGUGUGUGUGUGUGUGUGUGUGUGUGUGUGUGUGUGUGUGUGUGUGUGUGUGUGUGUGUGUGUGUGUGUGUGUGUGUGUGUGUGUGUGUGUGUGUGUGUGUGUGAGCAUGUGUGUGAGUGUAGGGUACCAAAAUACCGGUUACUAUCCCAAUAUUUCCAAGUUUUCCGGAAAUCCUGGUUGGAAGAUUCCCGGAAUUGUGAAGGAAUAAGCAGGGAAAUAUGGAAUCCUCCAACCAGGAUUCCUGGAAAACCAGGGAAUGUUGAGAAAGUUACUGGAAUUUGUGUGUGUGCGUGUGUGAGAGAGAUUACGCGAGGAAGAGAGCAGGUGAAUGAGAAAGGUACGUGUUGUGUUUGGGACAGUUAUGCCCUUGUUCACCGUGACACUCCUGCCAACAAAACACUGGUAGAUAGUUUAUAGAUUUUUACUUCUAGAAAAAGUUAUCUUUCUGCCUGGCUUUGUGCUCGGGAGCCAAUGGCAGCACACUAACAAACAAAUGGUUUGUAUUGAAUAUGUAACAACCAACUUAAACGAGCACUAGCCCUACAGAAUGUGGGAACACAUAUGCACAUCUAUUUGUAUAUACAGUAUGUACAAGAAGAUAAUACUGAAUGUUGAAUACAAUGUAUGAAAGUGUUUUAAAAUGCAAUGCUAAUAUUGAUUAGUUUGAUCUGUUUCAACUAAGUAUCUAUCUGUCUCCUGCCAUACAACUGUCCAUCUCCUUUAAGCCAUUCCUAGCUGUCCAUCUAUCUGUCUACCCGGCACACUGCCUAGUAAGCUAGCAAUCUGGCCAUCUAUCUAUUAUUGCAGCUGUCAAUCUAAAUGCCAUGUAAAUAUUGGAUACUUAUUGAUAGGCUCUGAGCCUUACGCUGAUGAUGCUUCAACACAGUGAGUUUGAAACGACCCCAGGACUCUUCCCCAGUGGAAAUGUGAUGAGAUGAGGUGCAUUGCUAUUGACCAGGGCCCGUAGUGCACUGCUGGUGAAAAGUAGUGCACUAUAAGGUAAUUAGGUACCAUUUGGGACACAACCUGGGGUCUGGUACACUAGGUGUAUGGAGAGGUCUGUUUGAUUCAGCUGAGUGUCUGCACUAUGGCAGAUGCACUAUAGUUCCUCACCAUAUGUACAGAAUGUGUACAAUCUUUAGAUGGUGGCCAGUUUGCUUGCGUUUUGAAUUUAGGAAGCAGAGAAAACGCAUCAUAUCCCAUAUUUUUAAAGACUAUCUUUUUAAGUAGACUAUUGAAAUAAACAAUGUAGAUGAAUUGAAAUGAAGGGGAAAUAAAAUAUUAAAGUCAAAAGUA